AAUAUAGCUUUGAUGGUUUCUGGUCUUCUUUCGGUUCUUUAUUUUUCUUUUUUACUUUCUCUCUCGUCUUCUAUGUUCUCUCUAAUCCCUUGUUUGAUUUUUGUUUCACAUUAGCGAAUAGCGAUACAAGUUCAAUUCAAAUUUCUUCUCUAUACUCAUCUUUCACCUAAUUGAUCCAAAAAAUUUGAUGAUAUUUCGUUGUUUGAGGGAAUGCUACUGAUAAUGAGAUAGAAGAAGAUUUUUCUCCUGUUUGUGAAGGUUGAUUCAACGAGACAUCGCCAACACGCCAAGGAUUCUGUAACAAUCCUUACCCCUGAUGAAUAUUAUGUGUUAAAGUAAUAGAAAAUUAGGCUAAAGUAAACAAAGUAGCCUUAAAAGUAAAGUAAAUUUUAGAUAAUGGAGGCUUUUGUUAGCCCUUGAGAAGAAAUAAUGUGUCAGAAAGAAUCACUUUAUAACAAACAUACAUGAUUUAGGAUUUAAGGUUUGGAAUUUUACGUUGGAUGCAUUGUAAAAUUAGGUAUAAUUAUCAUUUGUUUUGUUCUCUUAGAUUUGACAUUAUUACACUUCUUAUUCUGGAUAGUUAGCUUGUGUAGUAUACCAAGUAUAAACUUUGUAUUGUAACAUAGUCCAUCCUAUUCCCUAUUGAUAAAAGUUAUCAAUGUAGUUGUACAACUAUUUUGCUUUGGAAAUUUUGAUGUGUUAUUUAAGAUCUCA